rnacentral:lncRNA from 1 species
GGCAUGUGCAUUCACGAGCGGAGCGUGUGUAACGGCUACAACAACUGCGGCGACUACAGCGAUGAGCAGAACUGUACCUGCAGCACUUACGAUGUACCGUGCCUCACCUCCGGCAUGUGCAUCCACGAGUGGAACUUGUGUGACGGCAACAACGACUGUGGCGACUAUAGUGAUGAACUGAACUGUAGUUGCACGACAGACCAGUUCGUCUGCAAGGAUGGUGGCAUGUGUCUCAGUAGUUAUGCGCUAUGCAACCGCGUCUUCAACUGCCUUGAUGGCAGCGA